rnacentral:rRNA from 1 species
CCAGACUCCUACGGGAGGCAGCAGUGGGGAAUCUUCCGCAAUGGACGAAAGUCUGACGGAGCAACGCCGCGUGAGUGAUGACGGCCUUCGGGUUGUAAAGCUCUGUUAAUCGGGACGAAAGGCCUUCUUGCGAAUAGUGAGAAGGAUUGACGGUACCGGAAUAGAAAGCCACGGCUAACUACGUGCCAGCAGCCGCGGUAAUACGUAGGUGGCAAGCGUUGUCCGGAAUUAUUGGGCGUAAAGCGCGCGCAGGCGGAUAGGUCAGUCUGUCUUAAAAGUUCGGGGCUUAACCCCGUGAUGGGAUGGAAACUGCCAAUCUAGAGUAUCGGAGAGGAAAGUGGAAUUCCUAGUGUAGCGGUGAAAUGCGUAGAUAUUAGGAAGAACACCAGUGGCGAAGGCGACUUUCUGGACGAAAACUGACGCUGAGGCGCGAAAGCCAGGGGAGCGAACGGGAUUAGAUACCCCGGUAGUCCUGGCCGUAAACGAUGGGUACUAGGUGUAGGAGGUAUCGACCCCUUCUGUGCCGGAGUUAACGCAAUAAGUACCCCGCCUGGGGAGUACGACCGCAAGGUUUGAAACUCAAAGGAAUUGACGGGGGCCCGCACAAG